UGGGGAAUCUUGCGCAAUGGGCGAAAGCCUGACGCAGCCAUGCCGCGUGUAUGAUGAAGGUCUUAGGAUUGUAAAAUACUUUCACCGGUGAAGAUAAUGACUGUAGCCGGAGAAGAAGCCCCGGCUAACUUCGUGCCAGCAGCCGCGGUAAUACGAAGGGGGCUAGCGUUGCUCGGAAUUACUGGGCGUAAAGGGAGCGUAGGCGGACAUUUAAGUCAGAGGUGAAAUCCCGGAGCUUAACUUCGGAACUGCCUUUGAUACUGGGUGUCUUGAGUGUGAGAGAGGUAUGUGGAACUCCGAGUGUAGAGGUGAAAUUCGUAGAUAUUCGGAAGAACACCAGUGGCGAAGGCGACAUACUGGCUCAUUACUGACGCUGAGGCUCGAAAGCGUGGGGAGCAAACAGGAUUAGAUACCCUGGUAGUCCACGCCGUAAACGAUGAUUGCUAGUUGUCGGGAAGCUUGCUUCUCGGUGACGCAGCUAACGCAUUAAGCAAUCCGCCUGGGGAGUACGGUCGCAAGAUUA
rnacentral:rRNA from 1 species